rnacentral:rRNA from 1 species
GUGUCGACCUCGAAUCAGGUAAGGAUACCCGCUGAACUUAAGCAUAUCAAUAAGCGGAGGAA